GACGAACCGUGCGAACGUUAUUCGGAAUCACUGGGCUUAAAGCGCGUGUAGGCGGGGCGGAACGUCGGCCGCUGAAAUCCCCCGGCUCAACCGGGGAAGUGGCGCCGAAACGGCCGCCCUUGAGGGGCGUAGGGGGGGCUGGAACUUCCGGUGGAGCGGUGAAAUGCGUUGAGAUCGGAAGGAACGCCCGUGGCGAAAGCGAGCCCCUAGACGUCAUCUGACGCUGAGACGCGAAAGCUAGGGGAGCGAACGGG
rnacentral:rRNA from 1 species